rnacentral:rRNA from 1 species
GGCGAACGCUGGCGGCGUGCCUAAUACAUGCAAGUAGAACGCUGAAGGAGGAGCUUGCUUCUCUGGAUGAGUUGCGAACGGGUGAGUAACGCGUAGGUAACCUGCCUGGUAGCGGGGGAUAACUAUUGGAAACGAUAGCUAAUACCGCAUAAGAGUAGAUGUUGCAUGACAUUUGCUUAAAAGGUGCAAUUGCAUCACUACCAGAUGGACCUGCGUUGUAUUAGCUAGUUGGUGAGGUAACGGCUCACCAAGGCAACGAUACAUAGCCGACCUGAGAGGGUGAUCGGCCACACUGGGACUGAGACACGGCCCAGACUCCUACGGGAGGCAGCAGUAGGGAAUCUUCGGCAAUAGACGGAAGUCUGACCGAGCAACGCCGCGUGAGUGAAGAAGGGUGUCGGAUCGUAAAGCUUUGUUGUAAGAGAAGAACGAGUGUGAGAGUGGAAAGUUCACACUGUGACGGUAUCUUACCAGAAAGGGACGGCUAACUACGUG